rnacentral:rRNA from 1 species
AGCGAACGCUGGCGGCAGGCCUAACACAUGCAAGUCGAACGGACCCUUCGGGGUUAGUGGCGGACGGGUGAGUAACACGUGGGAACGUGCCUUUAGGUUCGGAAUAGCUCCUGGAAACGGGUGGUAAUGCCGAAUGUGCCCUUCGGGGGAAAGAUUUAUCGCCUUUAGAGCGGCCCGCGUCUGAUUAGCUUGUUGGUGGGGUAAUGGCCCACCAAGGCUACGAUCAGUAGCUGGUCUGAGAGGAUGACCAGCCACAUUGGGACUGGGACACGGCCCAAACUCCUACGGGAGGUAGCAGUGGGGAAUCUUGCGCAAUGGGCGAAAGCCUGACGCAGCCAUGCCGCGUGUAUGAUGAAGGUCUUAGGAUUGUAAAAUACUUUCACCGGUGAAGAUAAUGACUGUAACCGGAGAAGAAGCCCCGGCUAACUUCGUGCCAGCAGCCGCGGUAAUACGAAGGGGGCUAGCGUUGCUCGGAAUUACUGGGCGUAAAGGGAGCGUAGGCGGACAUUUAAGUCAGGGGUGAAAUCCC